GACGAACGCUGGCGGCGUGCUUAACACAUGCAAGUCGAACGGUGAAGCGCCUUCCUUUUUGGUGGGUGUGGAUGAGCGGCGAACGGGUUAGUAACACGUGAGUAACCUGCCCCCUCCUGCUGGAUAACCGCAUGCAAGUGCGGCUAAUACGGGAUAUUCUGGGCCUGUCGCAUGAUAGGUCUGGGAAAGACAUUGUGUCGGUUGGGGAUGGGGUCGCGGCCUAUCAGCUUGUUGGUGUGGUAACGGCCUACCAAGGCGGUGACGGGUAGCCGGCCUGAGAGGGUCGACGGCACCGCUGGGACUGAGCCGCGGCCACGACUCCUACGGGAGGCAGCAGUGGAGAUUAUUGAACGAUGGGCGGCAGGCUGAUGCAGCGACGCGGCGUGGGGGAUGGACGCCGGCGCGUUGUGAACCGCUUUUGGGAGAGAAGCAGGGCUGCCGUGUUUGUGGGUGGGUUGACGGUAGCUGGAUAAGAAGCGCCGGCUAACUACGUG
rnacentral:rRNA from 1 species